rnacentral:rRNA from 1 species
UAUGUGAUCGUCUCUUGCAUAUCAAUAAGCGGAGGAAAAGAAACUAACAAGGAUUCCCCUAGUAAAGGCGAGUGAAGCGGGAAGAGCUCAAAUUUGAAAUCUUAAAGGGUUUCCCUUACGAAUUGUAGUUUAAAGAAGUGUUUUCUGUUGAGGUUUUGGUAAAAGUUCUUUGGAAUAGGACAUCAUAGAGGGUGAGAAUCCCGUAUUUGACCUUUACUUUCAACUUUGUGAUACACUUUCAAAGAGUCGGAUUGUUUGGGAAUGCAGUCCAAAAUGGGUGGUAAAUUUCAUCUAAAGCUAAAUAUUGGCGAGAGACCGAUAGCGAACAAGUACCGUGAGGGAAAGAUGAGAAGAACUUUGUAAAAGAGAGUUAAACAGUACGUGAAAUUGUCAAAAGGGAAGCGUUUGACACCAGUGUUGUUUUUCUGAAAAUCAAUUAAAGAACUGUUUAUGCUAAGCUGUUUAGACUUUAUCAGCUAUCUGUUUAGUUUUGAGCUUUUCUUUAAUGCACUUUUCAGUUAACAAGUCAACAUCAAUUUCUUUUGUUGUAAAAAAGCUUGAGGAAGGUGGCUUGAGAUUCGUCUUAAGUGUUUAUAGCCUCUUGCCUAUGCAGUCGGAGAGAUUGAGGUCUGCAGCGUAGAUCCUUCGGGGCUAAAUGCAUUUGUGCUAAGUUAUAGCAUUUUAUAGACAACUUGUUGACUAUGAUUUGUCUUGUAGCUUACUCGCUUAUGUUAUUUUACCUACGCUUAGGAUGUUGACGAUCAGCUGAGCGCG